rnacentral:rRNA from 1 species
GUACCCUGGUAGUCCACGCUGUAAACGAUGUCGACUUGGAGGUUGUGCCCUUGAGGCGUGGCUUCCGGAGCUAACGCGUUAAGUCGACCGCCUGGGGAGUACGGCCGCAAGGUUAAAACUCAAAUGAAUUGACGGGGGCCCGCACAAGCGGUGGAGCAUGUGGUUUAAUUCGAUGCAACGCGAAGAACCUUACCUACUCUUGACAUCCACGGAAUUCGCCAGAGAUGGCUUAGUGCCUUCGGGAACCGUGAGACAGGUGCUGCAUGGCUGUCGUCAGCUCGUGUUGUGAAAUGUUGGGUUAAGUCCCGCAACGAGCGCAACCCUUAUCCUUUGUUGCCAGCACGUAAUGGUGGGAACUCAAAGGAGACUGCCGGUGAUAAACCGGAGGAAGGUGGGGAUGACGUCAAGUCAUCAUGGCCCUUACGAGUAGGGCUACACACGUGCUACAAUGGCAUAUACAAAGAGAAGCGAACUCGCGAGAGCAAGCGGACCUCAUAAAGUAUGUCGUAGUCCGGAUUGGAGUCUGCAACUCGACUCCAUGAAGUCGGAAUCGCUAGUAAUCGUAGAUCAGAAUGCUACGGUGAAUACGUUCCCGGGCCUUGUACACACCGCCCGUCACACCAUGGGAGUGGGUUGCAAAAGAAGUAGGUAGCUUAACCUUCGGAGGGCG